AAAAGCCUCAGUUAGUGGGAAUCCAAAUCAAACAUGCCGUGAGUUCCAUAGUCUCUGUUGAAAAAAGUAGCCGAUUUAGAGCUCUAAAUAGUAUGAAUCUGCCGCCAUGAAAAUCGAUAAUGUGGAUUUUUGUGGUCGGAGGAGAGAGAAAAGGGGGCGGAAGAGGCGAAAAUCGAUGAUGGGGAUUUAGUUUCUUCUUUACUUUAUGAUCGCCAUACAAAAAAUUUGUCAUUUCGCCUCUCUCAAAGCUUUCCAUUUCUUCUCCGACCACAAAGAGAGAUCCAUAUGCAGAGCGCAGCCACACCCCAUUCCCCAUAUCAUCAUUCGCCUUCAAGAGACCCUCUGGAGCCCUAACUUCAGAAGGUCAGUUAGCUUCUUCUCUCUCCGAUUUUCUACAUUUUACAUUCGAAACUUAAUCAGAAAUGUAAUGGUUGGAAAGUGAAAUUCUCAUUUCUGGAUUGCCAAAUUCCCCCAUUUCUUGUUUAAAAUCAAGUAUGGUUGCUGGGGAAUCGUAUAAACUAGUAGGGGACUUAUCAUUUUGCUUGUCGAGAAUUGAAUCUAGGUGGUUUUCAGUGAAACCCCAUUUUUAGAUCUAUGUAUUUAUUGUUUAUUUUUCUUUCUGAUCUAUUUUUCUGUUCAGUUGAAACAGCUCAUUACGAUGCCAGAAGCAAGAGAUAGACUAUCGAGGCCAGGCACUGUUACAACAGUGUUCAGUCGUCGCCAGAGGUCGAUCGGUAGGAGUUUUUGGCUGCAGAUCUUGAUCUUCAAUGUUCGGCUGAGAGGAGUUUUUGAUCGAUUUUUAAUGGUUUUAGAUUCUGUUGUUUUGAUUGAAUUGAUCAAUUUCUGAUUGUUUGGAAGUUUUAAUUAGUUUUGAUGUAUUAAGUGAAUAGGGUAUGACCAUUUUACCCUUCAAUAUAACAAAUAUAUUUUAUCACAAUUUAAG
rnacentral:lncRNA from 1 species